GUGAAUCAUCGAAUUUUUGAACGCAUAUUGCACUCCCUGGUAUUCCGGAGAGUAUGCCUGUUUGAGGGUCAGUUAAAUAAAAAUCGGGGUUUCUUCCACCUUUGGUGGUGACGCUUCGGAAUUGGGGCGUCUUUACCUUUCGGUUAAGUGACUCAAAAGUUAUGAAUGAUAUCUGAACGUAUUUAAAUUUAGUUGGUACGUCUUGUAAUAUCGAAUGUUUUAAAAAAGUGACCA
rnacentral:misc_RNA from 1 species